UACGUAGGAUGCAAGCGUUGCUCGGAAUUACUGGGUGUAAAGGGCGCGCAGGUGGCCCUGUAAGUCACAGGUGAAGGCCCCCGGCUUAACUGGGGAACUGCCUGUGAUACUGCAGGGCUAGAGUACGGGAGAGGGAAGUGGAAUUCCUGGUGUAGCGGUGAAAUGCGUAGAUAUCAGGAGGAACAUCGGUGGCGAAGGCGGCUUCCUGGCCCGAUACUGACACUGAGGCGCGAAAGCGUGGGUAGCAAACAGG
rnacentral:rRNA from 1 species